GACGAACGCUGGCGGCGUGCCUAAUACAUGCAAGUAGAACGCUGAAGAGAGGAGCUUGCUCUUCUUGGAUGAGUUGCGAACGGGUGAGUAACGCGUAGGUAACCUGCCUUGUAGCGGGGGAUAACUAUUGGAAACGAUAGCUAAUACCGCAUAACAAUGGAUGACACAUGUCAUUUAUUUGAAAGGGGCAAUUGCUCCACUACAGGAUGGACCUGCGUUGUAUUAGCUAGUAGGUGAGGUAACGGCUCACCUAGGCGACGAUACAUAGCCGACCUGAGAGGGUGAUCGGCCACACUGGGACUGAGACACGGCCCAGACUCCUACGGGAGGCAGCAGUAGGGAAUCUUCGGCAAUGGGGGCGACCCUGACCGAGCAACGCCGCGUGAGUGAAGAAGGUUUUCGGAUCGUAAAGCUCUGUUGUAAGUCAAGAACGAGUGUGAGAGUGGAAAGUUCACACUGUGACGGGCUUACCAGAAA
rnacentral:rRNA from 1 species